GCCGACAGGCGUAGUCGAUGGACAACGGGUUGAUAUUCCCGUACCCGUGUGUGCGCGCCCAUGAUGAAUCAUCGGUACUAACAACCCAAAAGGUUCUAGAUCAAUCUCUUCGGAGUGCGACGUGAACCCGCUGCGUGGGACCUUCGGUGGUAGUAGUCAAGCGAUGGGGUGACGCAGGAAGGUAGCUGUACCGGUUAGUGGUUAUACCGGAGCAAGCCCGUAGGACGACAUCUAGGCAAAUCCGGAUGUCAUACGUCUGAGAGGUGACGCAUAGCCGAUUGAGGCGAAUUCAGUGAUCCUAUGCUGCCAAGAAAAGCCUCUAGUGAGUUCACACACGGCCCGUACCCCAAACCAACACAGGUGGUCAGGUAGAGAAUACUAAGGCGUACGAGAUAACUAUGGUUAAGGAACUCGGCAAAAUACCCCCGUAACUUCGGGAGAAGGGGGACCUCGCUUGGUGACCGGACUUGCUCCGUGAGCUGAACGAGGUCGCAGAGACCAGUGAGAAGCGACUGUUUACUAAAAACACAGGUCCGUGCGAAGUCGCAAGACGAUGUAUACGGACUGACGCCUGCCCGGUGCUGGAAGGUUAAGAGGACCCGUUAACCCUUGGGUGAAGCGGAGAAUUUAAGCCCCAGUAAACGGCGGUGGUAACUAUAACCAUCCUAAGGUAGCGAAAUUCCUUGUCGGGUAAGUUCCGACCUGCACGAAUGGCGUAACGACUUCUCAACUGUCUCAACCAUAGACUCGGCGAAAUUGCACUACGAGUAAAGAUGCUCGUUACGCGCGGCAGGACGAAAAGACCCCGGGACCUUCACUAUAGCUUGGUAUUGGCGUUUGGUUCGGUUUGUGUAGGAUAGGUGGGAGACUGUGAAGCAGGCACGCCAGUGUUUGUGGAGUCAUCGUUGAAAUACCACUCUGAUCGUAUUGAACCUCUAACCUCGGACCGUAUAUCCGGUCCAGGGACAGUGCCUGGUGGGUAGUUUAACUGGGGCGGUUGCCUCCCAAAAUGUAACGGAGGCGCCCAAAGGUUCCCUCAACCUGGACGGCAAUCAGGUGUUGAGUGCAAGUGCACAAGGGAGCUUGACUGCGAGACCUACAAGUCAAGCAGGGACGAAAGUCGGGACUAGUGAUCCGGCACCUCUGAGUGGAAGGGGUGUCGCUCAACGGAUAAAAGGUACCCCGGGGAUAACAGGCUGAUCUUCCCCAAGAGUCCAUAUCGACGGGAUGGUUUGGCACCUCGAUGUCGGCUCGUCGCAUCCUGGGGCUGGAGCAGGUCCCAAGGGUUGGGCUGUUCGCCCAUUAAAGCGGCACGCGAGCUGGGUUUAGAACGUCGUGAGACAGUUCGGUCUCUAUCCGCCGCGCGCGUCAGAAACUUGAGGAAACCUGUCCCUAGUACGAGAGGACCGGGACGGACGAACCUCUGGUGUACCAGUUGUUCCACCAGGAGCACGGCUGGAUAGCUACGUUCGGACAGGAUAACCG
rnacentral:rRNA from 1 species